rnacentral:rRNA from 1 species
AUUGAACGCUGGCGGCAGGCUUAACACAUGCAAGUCGAGCGGGGGAAGGUAGCUUGCUACCGGACCUAGCGGCGGACGGGUGAGUAAUGCUUAGGAAUCUGCCUAUUAGUGGGGGACAACAUCUCGAAAGGGAUGCUAAUACCGCAUACGUCCUACGGGAGAAAGCAGGGGAUCUUCGGACCUUGCGCUAAUAGAUGAGCCUAAGUCGGAUUAGCUAGUUGGUGGGGUAAAGGCCUACCAAGGCGACGAUCUGUAGCGGGUCUGAGAGGAUGGUCGCCCACACUGGGACUGAGAAACGGCCCAGACUCCUCCGGGAGGCAGCAGUGGGGAAUAUUGGACAAUGGGGGGAACCCUGAUCCAGCCAUGCCGCGUGUGUGAAGAAGGCCUUAUGGUUGUAAAGCACUUUAAGCGAGGAGGAGGCUACUUUAGUUAAUACCUAGAGAUAGUGGACGUUACUCGCAGAAUAAGCACCGGCUAACUCUGUGCCAGCCGCCGCCGUAA